ensembl:lncRNA
GAGCGCGAUCCGCUGGAGAGAGACGUGGUGGUACAUCCUAGCGGUGACUGAAAGCAAUGGGCUGAACCUCUGCCUGGGGGGGUUAACUCUCACACGCAGCGCAGUCCCCUGCACACACGCAGCCACCGGCCAACGCCGAGACACCGACAGCGCGAGGCUGCGGGAAGAUCGUUUCCAAGUUGACUCCGACGUGAGCCCGUGAGCCGACUGGAAGACACGGACACCGACUGGUGCGUUACUUCGGGGGAGAACUAGGGGUGUUUGAGUGCCUGGCCACAAGAUCUCCAGGGAAAAUAAAAGCCUUUUUCUUUUUUGGAGAGCGCACCGAGGCGAAGGCGCAGUAACCGGGAGCUGGACGGAGGUGGAGGAGGAGGAGGAGGAGGAGGAGGAGGAGAGGGGGGGACUUCUUCGCGAUGGCAAGUUACGUUAAAGCGACUUGUCUACUGCUGGACAAAUGAGCUUUUGAUCACAUUGACACUGGCGCUGAAAGCGAGAGGAGGAGGAGGACUGUUGCCUUCUCGGAAGACGCGCGUCAAAGUUUGGAGAGCGGAGCCGCGGCAGUAGGAACAAGAAGAAGAACAAGAAGAAGAAAAGAAACUCAAGAAACAGUUUAUUGGUUUUGUCAAGAACUCCAAAGUCGUCUGUUAUCGAUGUCCGCGUAGCACGUCAACCCGCAGCUAUACUUUACCGGAGACAUGUCCAUCCAGAGACAACUUUAAAGCCCCCGGAGCAACUCAAAGACUGUAAACAUCGUUUCAGAAGGAUGAGCCUCGUCAAACACGAACAUUAAAAACGAAAUAAGUUACCGAGAAAGAGGCAAAAGCGCUCGAGAUUUACACUUUACGGGGGACGCGCUGUCAGAUGUUCUUCGGGUUAAAAGUGGCGUCGCGGAGGUGAUGAAGAGGAGGGAUACUUCGAGAAGAAACGCGCAGGCGAGUCCUCGGCGCUCGUGAGGCGGUGCGUGCGCUGCCGGGGACAGAAGAAAAAAAAAAAAAAAGGGAGACUGACGUUCCCAGUUGAGGCCCCCCCCCGCCCACUACCCACCCCUCCCCACACUCCCCCUCCACCCCCACGCCCCUUCCUCGUGAACCGGGCAUUAGAAGAGCUUCGGUGUGUUGUGUUGUGUCGUUGGAGAGGGAGGUUGGACAGUAAAGAGAAGGGAGACUGAGGAUAAAGUCCGAGAGUGAAGCGGCUAAUUGCUUAGUCCGUCCCUCAUUAGCAUAUCCAAUGGGCGCGACCGCUGGACCCGGGUCAGUCCUCC